rnacentral:rRNA from 1 species
AGCGAACGCUGGCGGCAGGCCUAACACAUGCAAGUCGAACGAACCUUUCGGGGUUAGUGGCGGACGGGUGAGUAACACGUGGGAACGUGCCUUUAGGUUCGGAAUAACUCAGGGAAACUUGUCCUAAUACCGAAUGUGCCCUUCGGGGGAAAGAUUAAUCGCCUUUAGAGCGGCCCGCGUCUGAUUAGCUAGUUGGUUGAGGUAAUGGCUCACCAAGGCGACGAUCAGUAGCUGGUCUGAGAGGAUGAUCAGCCACAUUGGGACUGAGACACGGCCCAAACUCCUACGGGAGGCAGCAGUGGGGAAUCUUGCGCAAUGGGCGAAAGCCUGACGCAGCCAUGCCGCGUGAAUGAUGAAGGUCUUAGGAUUGUAAAAUUCUUUCACCGGGGACGAUAAUGACGGUACCCGGAGAAGAAGCCCCGGCUAACUUCGUG